GUUGAUACCACAAUGCGAAAGAGUAUCAGUCCCGGAGAGAGGCUUGCCAUCACGCUCAGAUUCCUGGCUACAGGUGAAACAUUUCAAAGUCUGGCAUUUCAAUUCAGGACUGGAGAAAGGACAGUCUCAAAUAUUGUUGAUGAGACAUGCCAGGUGUUGUACAGCACAAUGAGGGAGUAGUAUGUGAAGAGGUCUCAACUGUGUCACUCUGUUUUGGGAGGUUGAAAAAAUCAAAAAACAAACAUAAAAGCUGAGAUGAGGAAAAUAAUACAUUCACACUGGCUCACACACUGACACUCACUGGUGAGGAGGCUGUGAAAUGGCACUGACACACACACACACACACACACACAAACUCAUAGUAAAAAAUAUAAACUUUGUAUGUAUACACAAUAUUUGCAAUGAAAAUAUUAGUGUUUCAUACACUUGGUCGUUGUCAACUGAGACAUGAUUUUGGUAAACAGG